GAUUAUAAAAGAUCUUAUGGUUCUGCUGAAUGAGAUUCUGGAACAAGUGGAAGAUAAAAUAUGUCUGAGAUCAUUAAAGUAAAUCAAAAUGAAGUUAGAAAAAUUCAAUAGAGGAAUACAGGAUAUGAUAACUAAGCAGUAGCAGUAAAGAAUGCCAAAAUGACUGUCAUUGUACAAAGUAAAAUAAAAAGAAUAAAAAAGCAUGUGUGACUCUCAAGCAUAUGUCAUGCAAGCAGCCCUAGCAUCAAAAUCUACUCAGCAGAAUACGAGCAGAGGUCAGAGAAGGUGACAGGACAGUUUGCCUGGUGUGAACAGAUGACAUCAAACUCUCAGGCUAACAUAAUGUGAUCUAGAAGUUCCAGAACCAGAAUCAGAAAUAAAGGUGACUCAGUCAAAUGGUAGCUCUGUUUUAAGUUGUUAGAGAAAUCUCCAGACUGAUUUCUAAGUGGACGAAUUCAUUUACAUU
rnacentral:lncRNA from 1 species